rnacentral:rRNA from 1 species
UAGGGAAUCUUCCACAAUGGACGCAAGUCUGAUGGAGCAACGCCGCGUGAGUGAAGAAGGCUUUCGGGUCGUAAAACUCUGUUGUUGGAGAAGAAUGGUCGGCAGAGUAACUGUUGUCGGCGUGACGGUAUCCAACCAGAAAGCCACGGCUAACUACGUGCCAGCAGCCGCGGUAAUACGUAGGUGGCAAGCGUUAUCCGGAUUUAUUGGGCGUAAAGCGAGCGCAGGCGGUUUUUUAAGUCUGAUGUGAAAGCCCUCGGCUUAACCGAGGAAGCGCAUCGGAAACUGGGAAACUUGAGUGC